UGAUCAUAUCACGUUGAAAUACCAGUUUCCUUACGAUCACCAUAGUUAAACAACAUCGAGACUGGCCAGUACCUAGAUGGGUGACCGUUUGGGCAUAUGAGAUGCUGUAAU